UACAGAGGGUGCAAGCGUUAUUCGGAAUCACUGGGCGUAAAGAGCUCGUAGGCGGUUAAUUAAGUCAUAUGUGAAAGCCCUGGGCUCAAUCCAGGAAGUGCAUCUGAUACUGAUUGACUGGAGUGCAGGAGAGGAAAGCGGAAUUCCAGGUGUAGAGGUGAAAUUCGUAGAUAUCUGGAGGAACAACAGAAGCGAAGGCGGCUUUCUGGACUGUCACUGACGCUGAGGAGCGAAAGCGUGGGGAGCAAACAGGAUUAGAUACCCUGGUAGUCCACGCUGUAAACGAUGGAUACUAGAUGUCGGGGGCCUUACCCCCUCGGUGUCGACGCUAACGCAUUAAGUAUCCCGCCUGGGGAGUACGGCCGCAAGGUUAAA
rnacentral:rRNA from 1 species